rnacentral:lncRNA from 1 species
CACUCAAACCAUCUCUAUAGAGUUUAUCUGAUUCCUCAUCACCACAAACCUGGGGCCAGAUUCCACUGUCAAUCAAAGAGAGAAAAGAGGUUGGAAUCCCCAGCGGACAUUUCAUUCCAUUAGUUCUACUAAAUAAUUCUACAGUAGAGACCGAUAGACCCAGAGCUUGAAUUUGCUGCUGUGAUCAGACUUCCUGGUAGCGAAUGUCUGCAGGCCAGACCUGUGCUGUCCUGAAUGCCUUGCCUUGCCCCGGGGCAGGAGAUCCGGCCCUCUAGGUGGUCCCCUAGGCUAAAGGGCAGCAAGAGUGAAGGCCUGCCACACUCCAGCAGUGUCCUGUCCACCCCACAGAACCCCCACAAGGGGCAGCCCCUAUUUUCAUCCACCCAGCAGCUCUAAUGGUAGGUCCUGGCUCCACCUUCUCCCGCUUGCCCUGUCUUGCUGCAGACACGUUGCUUUGCAUCUUGGACAGAACCAGAAACGUGACACAUUCCUAAUAACCUUAAUAAUCCUCACAGCUAGCAUUUCUUGAGCACGCGAUCACCUUUCCACAUAUCUCAUCUCACUUAAGGUACCCUACGCGAAGGAAGGAUCAUUGCACCAUUACGGAGACGAGGAUACAAACUGUCAGGCCUCUGAGCCCAAGCUAAGCCAUCACAUCUCCUGUGACCUGCACAUAUACAUCCAGAUGACCUGAAGCAAAUGAAGAACCACAAAAAAUAACAUUCCACCAUUGUGAUCUGUUCCUACCCACCCUAACUGAUCAAUUGACCUUAUGACAAUACCCCCUCCCCGCCCUUGCAAUAAUAUACUUUGUCAUACUCCCCCGCCCUUAAGAAGGUACUUUGUAAUAUUCUCCCCGCCCUUGAGAAUGUACUUUGUGAGAUCCACCCCCUGCCUAUAAAAAAUUGCUCCUAACUCCACCGCCUAUCCCAAACCUAUAAGAACUAAUGAUAAUCCCAGCACCCUUUGCUGACUCCUUUCUUGGACACAGCCUGCUUGCACCCAGGUGAAAUAAACAGCCUUGUUGCUCACACA